GCUUUCAUAGAACCACAGGAUAUUAAUGCCAUGAGGGAACCGGGAGAUGAUGUGGACCCCAUUCCAUCAUUUAUAUCAAGGAAAACCAAGGCUCACAGAGAUCUCAGCAAGCACGGAAUAUGGAACUGUUCAAAUCAGGAAUAGAUGGGGACUUUGAAGAUAAGGUCUUUCCAAAUUCCUAUGAAGGUGAGAACAGC